rnacentral:rRNA from 1 species
AUGGGAGCUUGCUCCCUGAUGUUAGCGGCGGACGGGUGAGUAACACGUGGGUAACCUGCCUGUAAGACUGGGAUAACUCCGGGAAACCGGGGCUAAUACCGGAUGGUUGUUUGAACCGCAUGGUUCAAACAUAAAAGGUGGCUUCGGCUACCACUUACAGAUGGACCCGCGGCGCAUUAGCUAGUUGGUGAGGUAACGGCUCACCAAGGCAACGAUGCGUAGCCGACCUGAGAGGGUGAUCGGCCACACUGGGACUGAGACACGGCCCAGACUCCUACGGGAGGCAGCAGUAGGGAAUCUUCCGCAAUGGACGAAAGUCUGACGGAGCAACGCCGCGUGAGUGAUGAAGGUUUUCGGAUCGUAAAGCUCUGUUGUUAGGGAAGAACAAGUACCGUUCGAAUAGGGCGGUACCUUGACGGUACCUAACCAGAAAGCCACGGCUAACUACGUGCCAGCAGCCGCGGUAAUACGUAGGUGGCAAGCGUUGUCCGGAAUUAUUGGGCGUAAAGGGCUCGCAGGCGGUUUCUUAAGUCUGAUGUGAAAGCCCCCGGCUCAACCGGGGAGGGUCAUUGGAAACUGGGGAACUUGAGUGCAGAAGAGGAGAGUGGAAUUCCACGUGUAGCGGUGAAAUGCGUAGAGAUGUGGAGGAACACCAGUGGCGAAGGCGACUCUCUGGUCUGUAACUGACGCUGAGGAGCGAAAGCGUGGGGAGCGAACAGGAUUAGAUACCCUGGUAGUCCACGCCGUAAACGAUGAGUGCUAAGUGUUAGGGGGGUUUCCGCCCCUUAGUGCUGCAGCUAACGCAUUAAGCACUCCGCCUGGGGAGUACGGUCGCAAGACUGAAACUCAAGGAAUUGACGGGGGCCCGCACAGCGGUGGAGCAUGUGGUUUUAUUCGAAGCAACGCGAAGAACCUUACCAGGUCUUGACAUCCUCUGACAAUCCUAAAGAUAGGACGUCCCCUUCGGGGGCAGAGUGGACAGGUGGGUGCAUGGUUGUCAUCAACUUCGUGUCCUGAGAUGUUGGGUUAGUCCCGCAACCGAGCAGCAACCCAUGGAUCUUA